rnacentral:lncRNA from 1 species
GAGCCACCUGAGCAACCACCACACUCCCGCUCUGAUACAUGGGCUGUACUGUUCAGUCUGCAGGAACCACUGCAGACCUCCUUGUAUAAAAAGAGUUCACGUCUCCAAAGAUAAUAGCAAAGAAUUCCAAGAGGACACUUUACCAGAAGUAUGGCUUUAUGUUCAUUACCAACCAGCCUGUGUAAUGAGGAAGAUGUCCUAUGGAAAAGUCCUUGCAGACUUCACUCAGACAGCGUGCCGAGGCGUAUUUCUGUUGCUGGAAGAUGCAGUUAAGCCAAGUGAUAUGACAUCUCUGCACAUAACCUAAUGAGGACAGCUACACAGAACAGUGCUAGGGGGAUCUGCGUGACAAACAAUAAAAGCAUAGCUCACUCUUCUGCCAUCGAACUCCUUUCUGGUAAUAAAAAGAGCAGAGCAGCCAGGGCUGCUUA